CAAAAACAAGCAUCUUUCCAGUUUUUCUCUACCGUGUUUGCCAGUCAGGUCUUCCUACAGCUAACCGCAGUCAAGUGUCAUCUUAAAUCCAGAGAUACGAACACUCUGGCAUCAUGUAUGUCAAUUCUGGAGCAGAAAAUGUGUCCAUGUCUUUGAACUUUAUGGGCAGGAAGUUACGUAACCAUACUGUUGCCCCAGCAGCAAAGCAACGUGCCUGGGAGACCACUGACCUUUCUCGAUAUCAGGAGGAUCCAGUGGUCUCCACCCGAGUGGUACUUUCUCAUCCCAUCGUGUCAUCAGAGGAACUGCCAGGCAGUGUGCCUGAUCUAAGAGAACAGGUUCAGUGGCGUAGACCAUGUAACAUCCAUAAUACACUCCUACACCAGGAUAAAGAUA